rnacentral:siRNA from 1 species
AUGUUGCACAUAAACUGACCGUG